AUUGAACGCUGGCGGCAGGCCUAACACAUGCAAGUCGAGCGGAGCGGCGGACGGGUGCGUACUGCCUAGGAAUCUGCCUGGUAGUGGGGGAUAACGCCCGGAAACGGGCGCUAAUACCGCAUCCUAUCAGAUGAGCCUCGGGCGGAUUAGCUAGUUGGUGGGGUAACGGCCUACAAGGGCGACGACCCGUAACUCGUCUGAGAGGAUGAUCAGGCCAACUGGAACUGAGACACGGUCCAGACGCCUACGGAGAGCAGCAGAGGGGAAUAUUGUACAAAGGGCGAAAGGCUGAUCCAGCCAUGCCGCGUGUAUGAAGAAGGUCUUCGGUGUGUAAAGCACUUUAAGUUGGGCGGCGUUACAAACAGAAUAGGCGCCGGCUAACUGCGUGCCAGCAGCCGCGGUAAUAC
rnacentral:rRNA from 1 species